rnacentral:rRNA from 1 species
CUAUUCUGCCCACUGAUAAUUUUAAAUGGCCGCAGUAUUUUGACUGUGCAAAGGUAGCAAAAUAAUUUGUUCUAUAAUUGAGGACUAGUAUGAAUGAGUGGAUGAAAUAAUAACUUUAUUAUUUUUAAGUUUUGAAUUUAAUUUUAAGUUAAAAUUCUUAAAUUAAAUUAAAAGACGAGAAGACCCUAUAGAAUUUAAAUUAUAUUUUUUUAAAUUUAGAUAUAUUUUAUUAGUUAAAUUUAUAUUAAAUAUAAUUUUUACUGGGGCAGUUAAUUAAUUUAAUUAAAUUAGUUAUAAAUUUACAUAAAUUAAUGAAUUAAGUUAAUUUUUUAAAAUUAUUAUAAUAAAUUACCUUAGGGAUAACAGCGUAAUAUUUUCGAAAAGACCUAAUUGAUGAAAAUGAUUGCGACCUCGAUGUUGAAUUAAGAAUAAGUUUAGAUGUAGAAGUUUAAAUU